UGGCGGGAUAUCUCUCUCUCAACAUCAUCAUCAUCAUCUUCUUGAAAUCCAAGAGGAGCACGAAGGGGCGGUCUUGUAGGCUGCUUCUGCUGUGAUGGCUUAACCCUAAGCUGCAGGCCAUACUUGCUCAUUUUUACUGUCUUCUAACUAUUCCUGAAAUCGAGAGAUGAAGAAGAUCGACGGGUUGCAACACGAUGGUGGAGCUGGAGCAGCACGGUACUGCUCUGUCUGAAGCCAG
rnacentral:misc_RNA from 1 species